rnacentral:sRNA from 1 species
AGUGGGUUAUCAGAGCUUAUUAACAUUAGUGUCACUAAAGUUGGUAUACCACCACCCCCCACU